rnacentral:rRNA from 1 species
GAUGAACGCUGGCGGCGUGCCUAAUACAUGCAAGUCGAGCGAACGGACGAGAAGCUUGCGUCUCUGAUGUUAGCGGCGCACGGGUGAGUAACACGUGGAUAACCUACCUAUAAUACUGGGAUAACUACGGGAAACCGGAUCUAAUACCGGAUAAUAUUUUGAACCGCAUGGUUCAAAAGUGAAAGACGGUCUUGCGGUCAGUUAUAGAUGGAUCCGCGCUUCAUUAGCUAGUUGGUAGGGUAAGGGCUUACCAAGGCAACGAUGCGUAGCCGACCUGAGAGGGUGACCGGCCACAUUGGGACUGAGAUACGGCCCAGACUCGUACGGGAGGCAGCAGGGGGGAAUAUUGCACAAUGGGCGGAAGCCUGAUGCAGCAACGCCGCGUGCGGGAUGACGGCCUUCGGGUUGUAAACCGCUUUCGCCUGUGACGAAGCGUGAGUGACGGUAAUGGGUAAAGAAGCACCGGCUAACUACGUG